rnacentral:misc_RNA from 1 species
CCAGUGACCCCCGGCUUCGGCCGGGGAUGAUCAUAACCCUUUGCUGUCCGACUCUGUUGCCUCCGGGGCGACCCUGCCUCCGGGCGGGGGCCCCGGGUGGACACAUUCAAACUCUUGCGUAACUUUGCAGUCUGAGUAAAUUUAAUUAAUAAAUUA